AUUGAACGCUGGCGGCAGGCCUAACACAUGCAGGUCGAGCGGAUGAAGGGAGCUUGCUCCUGGAUUCAGCGGCGGACGGGUGAGUAAUGCCUAGGAAUCUGCCUGGUAGUGUGGGAUAACGUCCGGAAACGGGCGCUAAUACCGCAUACGUCCUGAGGGAGAAAGUGGGGGAUCUUCGGACCUCACGCUAUCAGAUGAGCCUAGGUCGGAUUAACUAGUUGGUGGGGUAAAGGCCUACCAAGGCGACGAUCCGUAACUGGUCUGAGAGGAUGAUCAGUCACACUGGAACUGAGACACGGUCCAGACUCCUACGGGAGGCAGCAGUGGGGAAUAUUGGACAAUGGGCGAAAGCCUGAUCCAGCCAUGCCGCGUGUGUGAAGAAGGUCUUCGGAUUGUAAAGCACUUUAAGUUGGGAGGAAGGGCAGUAAGUUAAUACCUUGCUGUUUUGACGUUACCAACAGAAUAAGCACCGGCUAACUUCGUG
rnacentral:rRNA from 1 species